GUCAAAGCGUUCAUUAAAGUCGAGUUGGCUUAGGGAUACGUUCGUUGGGUAGGGGAGCGUUCUGUAAGCCUGUGAAGGUGUGUCGUGAGGCAUGCUGGAGGUAUCAGAAGUGCGAAUGCUGACAUAAGUAACGAUAAAGCGGGUGAAAAGCCCGCUCGCCGGAAGACCAAGGGUUCCUGUCCAACGUUAAUCGGGGCAGGGUGAGUCGACCCCUAAGGCGAGGCCGAAAGGCGUAGUCGAUGGGAAACGGGUUAAUAUUCCCGUACUUGGUGUUACUGCGAAGGGGGGACGGAGAAGGCUAUGUUGGCCGGGCGACGGUUGUCCCGGUUUAAGCGUGUAGGUGUGUGUUCCAGGUAAAUCCGGUUCACUUUAACACUGAGGCGUGACGACGAGGCACUACGGUGCUGAAGCAACAAAUGCCCUGCUUCCAGGAAAAGCCUCUAAGCAUCAGGUAACACGAAAUCGUACCCCAAACCGACACAGGUGGUCAGGUAGAGAAUACCAAGGCGCUUGAGAGAACUCGGGUGAAGGAACUAGGCAAAAUGGUGCCGUAACUUCGGGAGAAGGCACGCUGACACGUAGGUGAAGUGAUUUACUCAUGGAGCUGAAGUCAGUCGAAGAUACCAGCUGGCUGCAACUGUUUAUUAAAAACACAGCACUGUGCAAACACGAAAGUGGACGUAUACGGUGUGACGCCUGCCCGGUGCCGGAAGGUUAAUUGAUGGGGUCAGCGUAAGCGAAGCUCCUGAUCGAAGCCCCGGUAAACGGCGGCCGUAACUAUAACGGUCCUAAGGUAGCGAAAUUCCUUGUCGGGUAAGUUCCGACCUGCACGAAUGGCGUAAUGAUGGCCAGGCUGUCUCCACCCGAGACUCAGUGAAAUUGAACUCGCUGUGAAGAUGCAGUGUACCCGCGGCAAGACGGAAAGACCCCGUGAACCUUUACUAUAGCUUGACACUGAACAUUGAGCCUUGAUGUGUAGGAUAGGUGGGAGGCUUUGAAGUGUGGACGCCAGUCUGCAUGGAGCCGACCUUGAAAUACCACCCUUUAAUGUUUGAUGUUCUAACGUGGACCCGUAAUCCGGGUUGCGGACAGUGUCUGGUGGGUAGUUUGACUGGGGCGGUCUCCUCCUAAAGAGUAACGGAGGAGCACGAAGGUUGGCUAAUCCUGGUCGGACAUCAGGAGGUUAGUGCAAUGGCAUAAGCCAGCUUGACUGCGAGCGUGACGGCGCGAGCAGGUGCGAAAGCAGGUCAUAGUGAUCCGGUGGUUCUGAAUGGAAGGGCCAUCGCUCAACGGAUAAAAGGUACUCCGGGGAUAACAGGCUGAUACCGCCCAAGAGUUCAUAUCGACGGCGGUGUUUGGCACCUCGAUGUCGGCUCAUCACAUCCUGGGGCUGAAGUAGGUCCCAAGGGUAUGGCUGUUCGCCAUUUAAAGUGGUACGCGAGCUGGGUUUAGAACGUCGUGAGACAGUUCGGUCCCUAUCUGCCGUGGGCGCUGGAGAACUGAGGGGGGCUGCUCCUAGUACGAGAGGACCGGAGUGGACGCAUCACUGGUGUUCGGGUUGUCAUGCCAAUGGCACUGCCCGGUAGCUAAAUGCGGAAGAGAUAAGUGCUGAAAGCAUCUAAGCACGAAACUUGCCCCGAGAUGAGUUCUCCCUGAGACUUAGAGUCUCCUGAAGGAACGUUGAAGACGACGACGUUGAUAGGCCGGGUGUGUAAGCGCAGCGAUGCGUUGAGCUAACCGGUACUAAUGAACCGUGAGGCUUAACCUU
rnacentral:rRNA from 1 species